GCGUUGGUAGUGCAACGGUUGAGCACGCGCCCCCGGAUAGGGCGAGAUUUGGGUGCGAAUCCCAUCUGACAUA